CAUUGCCCAGCUGGUCCUCACACCCUUGCCUGAGGCCUUACAGCUGCACAGGUUGCCCAGAUCUGGACUUUUUCAGCACCCUCUGGCCCUGCCAUUGCCUCCUUACACAGGUCCUGACACACCUGAACCCCAGGUUGCCCUCUCACCCACACCUGUGUCUCCAAGGCAUUGCACUGGGUGGUGCUCUGUCUGCCCAGGCCUGGGAAGAAAAGGGACAUUUUAAGUCCUCUGGCAAAUCUGGGUUCAGAACAAUGACCCAAGUCUCCCACCCAGGUCCUGUCCCCCUAUUGUGCUGCCCACUCUUUUCUUUCCCCCGCCAGUCCAAGGUGUCCCUUCCUGGACAAGGGGUGAGUCUUCUCUUGGAGUCUAGUCACAGCCCCCAAACUCUGGAAGACUCAGGAGCUGGGACAUCAAGGAUACUCCAGGUGGCUUCUGGUGCUUUUCAACAUGGUCCUACCUGGCUGAGGGCAUCCGGGUAGCUUCCAGAGAGCAGGACUGGGAAGCCAAGCUUUGUUCACCGCCCAGAGGCACAGGCUCCAUGGCCCAGUUCCCAGGCCCCAUGGCCCUGUGGCCCCAUGGCCUGGUUACCAGCUCGAGGAAGCUGUCCCCUUGCUCCUGGUGACCAUCACGUCUCCAUAUCUGUUCCUGUUCUCAGUGGGUGGUGGGAAGCAGUGCCCACUCUGACAGGGCAGCCAUGUAGACCAGGAUCAAGGGGCUGAGCCCCUGCCUGGGUUCUCAGUUCUGUUUGCUUUUCCUGUCACCCUGCCAUGGUCCAUCUUCCGGAGUUGUUGCAGAGUCGAGAAGAGCCACGCCAGGCUUGCUGGGUGUCAUCCUAACUGGUCUCACCCUAACUUAUGGAGGCUGGGUGCCCUCCAUGUACCGUGAGAAACUAUUUGAGCCAUGAAGCUGGUGUUUAUAAGACUUUCACUUUUGCCAAAAUGUUACAAGGGAGAGGUGUCAGCACCCUCACCUCACUGGCAUUUUCUUGAAAGGUCCUGUGUCCGUUUGUUCGGCCAGCAUGGGGAUUCUGAG
rnacentral:lncRNA from 1 species